AACAAAUCGACCCCAGGACGUAUUUUUUUUAACCUUUGCUCCAUUGUUCAUGCAUACAACCAACAGAGCAUAUUUGCCAUAUUUCAUAUCAGCCUUACAUUUCCUUUGCAACCAAUGCCAAUAUGCCACAACAAUGCCAUAUUACACUUUCUACUUGAGCAUCAGAGAAUCUGCCUUCUCUCAAAGAAAAAAAAACCCUUUGCUACCAACAGCUGAAGCUUGGCAACUUCACUAGUGCUGGUACCAUA
rnacentral:lncRNA from 1 species